CUGCCCUCGAGAGACUC
rnacentral:miRNA from 1 species